AUGUUACAUCAGAAGGAAGAAGUUCAGCACGUGGCAGAGAGAAGGUCAUUUUUGGUCGAAGACGACGGUGGGGAAGAGCUUGGCCAGAGAUGCGUGAGAGGGAUGAAGAAACUCGACGUCUGGUGGCGGCUCUGCCUCCCCUACUCCCGUAGGAUGCAGAGUAAUAGGAGCUGCAUGUCGAGGCAGCGGCGUGAUGGAGGGGGUCGCGCCGGGGAGCAUGACGGCGGGAUCACCACGACCACGCAGAGGGACCUCGAGGCCAGGAGGAUGCAGUCGUGGACCCGUCGCGCUCAGGGAUGGAGGAGCUCGCCGGAGACAGCACUGCCUCCAUGA
rnacentral:rRNA from 1 species